rnacentral:rRNA from 1 species
AGCGAACAGAUAAGGAGCUUGCUCCUUUGACGUUAGCGGCGGACGGGUGAGUAACACGUGGGUAACCUACCUAUAAGACUGGAAUAACUCCGGGAAACCGGGGCUAAUGCCGGAUAACAUGUUGAACCGCAUGGUUCUACAGUGAAAGACGGUCUUGCUGUCACUUAUAGAUGGACCCGCGCCGUAUUAGCUAGUUGGUGGGGUAACGGCCUACCAAGGCGACGAUACGUAGCCGACCUGAGAGGGUGAUCGGCCACACUGGAACUGAGACACGGUCCAGACUCCUACGGGAGGCAGCAGUAGGGAAUCUUCCGCAAUGGGCGAAAGCCUGACGGAGCAACGCCGCGUGAGUGAUGAAGGUCUUCGGAUCGUAAAGCUCUGUUGUUAGGGAAGAACAAAUGUGUAAGUAACUGUGCACAUCUUGACGGUACCUAACCAGAAAGCCACGGCUAACUACGUGCCAGCAGCCGCGGUAAUACGUAGGUGGCAAGCGUUAUCCGGAAUUAUUGGGCGUAAAGCGCGCGUAGGCGGUUUUUUAAGUCUGAUGUGAAAGCCCACGGCUCAACCGUGGAGGGUCAUUGGAAACUGGAAAACUUGAGUGCAGAAGAGGAAAGUGGAAUUCCAUGUGUAGCGGUGAAAUGCGCAGAGAUAUGGAGGAACACCAGUGGCGAAGGCGGCUUUCUGGUCUGCAACUGACGCUGAUGUGCGAAAGCGUGGGGAUCAAACAGGAUUAGAUACCCUGGUAGUCCACGCCGUAAACGAUGAGUGCUAAGUGUUAGGGGGUUUCCGCCCCUUAGUGCUGCAGCUAACGCAUUAAGCACUCCGCCUGGGGAGUACGGUCGCAAGACUGAAACUCAAAGGAAUUGACGGGGACCCGCACAAGCGGUGGAGCAUGUGGUUUAAUUCGAAGCAACGCGAAGAACCUUACCAAAUCUUGACAUCCUUUGACCGCUCUAGAGAUAGAGUUUUCCUCUUCGGAGGACAAAGUGACAGGUGGUGCAUGGUUGUCGUCAGCUCGUGUCGUGAGAUGUUGGGUUAAGUCC